UUCCCCGUGAAUCAAAAGCGGCCGCGGCUAGGGAAGCUUGUCCUGUGAGGGAUUCCGUAGAGGCACUCCUCCACUGCUUGAGUCCCGGGCGAACAUGGCGGCCCCCGAGUCAGGGCCGGCUUUGAGUCCAGGCGCUGCAGAGGGUGAGGAGGAGACGAUUCUCUAUGACUUGUUGGUCAACACCGAGUGGCCACCGGAGACUGAAGUACAGCCUAGAGGCAACCGAAAGCAUGGUGCAUCCUUUAUCAUCACGAAAGCAAUUCGAGAUCGUUUAUUAUUUUUACGCCAAUACAUCUGGUACAGCCCUGCACCUUUUUUGCUCCCUGAUGGACUGGUUCGCUUGAUUAAUAAACAGAUAAACUGGCAUUUGGUACUAGCAAGCAAUGGAAAGCUUUUGGCUGCUGUUCAAGAUCAGUGUGUGGAAAUCAGGUCUGCAAAAGAUGAUUUUACAUCCAUUAUCGGGAAAUGUCAAGUUCCGAAAGACCCGAAACCCCAGUGGAGACGGGUAGCAUGGAGUUAUGAUUGUACCCUACUGGCCUAUGCUGAAAGCACAGGAACUGUGAGGGUGUUUGAUCUCAUGGGAAGUGAACUCUUUGUCAUUUCCCCGGCAUCUAGUUUUAUAGGUGAUUUAAGCUAUGCCAUUGCUGGGUUGAUCUUUUUAGAAUAUAAAGCAAGUGCACAGUGGUCUGCAGAACUCCUGGUCAUCAAUUACCGAGGAGAACUUAGAAGUUACCUUGUAAGUGUUGGAACAAAUCAGAGCUACCAAGAAAGUCACUGUUUCAGCUUCAGUAGUCAUUAUCCUCAUGGAAUCAACACAGCUAUUUACCACCCUGGUCACAGACUUUUGUUGGUCGGUGGAUGUGAAACUGCUGAAGUAGGCAUGUCAAAAGCUUCUAGCUGUGGCCUUUCUGCCUGGAGAGUUCUUUCAGGAUCUCCGUAUUACAAGCAGGUUACUAAUGGUGGAGACAGAGUUACUGCGGCACCGAAGACACUGGGAUUAUUAAGGAUGUUAAGCAUCAAGUUUUACAGUCACCAGGGACAAGAACAGGAUGGAAUUUUUAAGAUGAGCCUUUCUCCGGACGGGAUGCUCCUGGCAGCCAUUCACUUCUCAGGGAAACUGAGCAUCUGGGCGAUUCCAUCUCUGAAGCAGCAGGGGGAAUGGAGUCAAAAUGAGCAGCCAGGCUAUGAUGACCUUAAUCCUGACUGGAGGCUCUCUACUGAGAAGAGAAAAAAAGUCAAAGAUAAAGAGUCCUUUUACCCACUGAUAGAUGUCAAUUGGUGGGCAGACAGUGCAGUGACUUUAGCUCGAUGCUCUGGUGCCUUAACUGUUUCGUCGGUGAAAACUUUGAAGAAUUUACUGGGAAAAUCCUGUGAGUGGUUUGAACCAUCACCUCAAGUCACUGCUACCCAUGAUGGGGGAUUUUUAAGUUUGGAGUGUGAGAUUAAACUUGCCUCCAAACGAUCUCGUUUGGAGACUAGGGCUGGAGAAGAAGAUGAAGGAGAAGAGGAUUCUGAUUCUGAUCAUGAAAUAUCUGCCAAGGCUCGCUACUUUGGUUAUAUAAAACAGGGCCUUUACUUGGUAACUGAGAUGGAGCGAUUCGCACCAGCACGGAAACGCCCACGAACCAUUACUAAAAACUACCGCCUUGUGAGUUUGCGCUCCACGACACCGGAGGAACUUUAUCAGAGGAAGAUUGAAAGUGAAGAGUAUGAGGAAGCCUUGUCCUUGGCUCAUACCUAUGGCCUGGAUACUGACCUCGUAUAUCAGAGGCAGUGGAGGAAGUCAGUGGUCAACGUUGCUUCAAUUCAGAAUUAUUUGAGUAAAAUAAAGAAGCGAUCCUGGGUUCUCCAUGAGUGUUUGGAAAGAGUUCCUGAAAAUGUGGAUGCUGCGAAAGAACUGCUUCAGUAUGGAUUAAAAGGCACAGACCUGGAGGCUCUUUUAGCAAUAGGGAAAGGAGCAGAUGAAGGCAGAUUUACAUUACCUGGUGAAGUAGACAUUGACAAUAUCUCCUAUGAAGAACUUUCACCACCUGAUGAAGAGCCUGCCAAGAAUAAAAAGGAGAAGGAGCUCAAGAAGAGACAGGAACUACUGAAAUUAGUGAACUUUUCCAAGUUGACACUGGAACAAAAGGAACUUUGCCGUUGUAGACGGAAAUUAUUAACCUACUUAGAUCGACUUGCAACAUAUGAGGAAAUCCUAGGAGUGCCUCAUGCAUCUGAACAGAGAUAUGAUGCUGAAUUCUUUAAGAAAUUCAGAAAUCAGAAUAUUGUUCUCUCAGCUAGAACUUAUGCUCAGGAAAGUAAUGUACAAGCUCUAGAAAUUCUGUUUACUUAUCAUGGCUCCGACCUGCUUCCUCAUCGCCUUGCGAUUCUCUCCAACUUUCCAGAGACCACUUCUCCACAUGAAUAUUCUGUUUUGCUGCCUGAAGCUUGUUUUAACGGUGACUCCCUGAUGAUCGUUCCUUGGCAUGAACACAAACACCGAGCUAAGGAUUGGUGCGAGGAGCUGGCUUGCAGAAUGGUUGUUGAGCCGAAUCUCCAAGAUGAAAGUGAAUUCUUGUAUGCUGCACAGCCUGAGUUACUAAGGUUCAGGACGACCCAGCUUACGGUGGAGAAGGUUAUGGACUGGUAUCAGACCAGAGCAGAGGAAAUAGAGCAUUAUGCCCUGCAGGUGGACUGUGCAUUGUCACUUAUUCGACUUGGGAUGGAGCGGAAUAUUCCUGGUUUGCUGGUUCUCUGUGAUAAUUUGGUUACUCUGGAAACAUUGGUUUAUGAAGCUGGGUGUGACGUAACUCUCACCCUGAAAGAACUCCAGCAGAUGAAAGACAUUGAAAAACUAAGAUUGCUGAUGAAUAGUUGUUCCGAGAACAAAUAUGUGACAAGUGCCUACCAGUGGAUGGUUCCCUUUCUUCAUCGUUGUGAGAAACAGUCGCCUGGUGUGGCUAAUGAGCUAUUAAAAGAAUAUUUAGUAACUUUAGCUAAAGGGGACUUAAAAUUUCCCCUGAAGAUAUUUCAGCAUUCCAAACCAGAUCUGCAGCAAAAAAUUAUUCCUGAUCAGGACCAACUGAUGGCAAUAGCACUAGAGUGCAUCUAUACCUGUGAACGAAAUGACCAACUCUCUCUUUGCUAUGACAUACUAGAAUGUCUGCCAGAAAGAGGAUAUGGUGAUAAGACAGAGGCAACCACAAAGCUUCAUGACAUGGUAGACCAACUGGAACAAAUUCUCAGUGUGUCAGAGCUUUUGGAAAAACAUGGACUCGAGAAACCAAUUUCAUUUGUUAAAAACACUCAGUCUAGCUCGGAAGAGGCACGCAAGCUGAUGGUUAGAUUGACUAGGCACACCGGCCGGAAGCAGCCUCCUGUCAGUGAGUCUCAUUGGAGAACGUUGCUGCAAGACAUGUUAACUAUGCAGCAGAAUGUAUACACAUGUCUAGAUUCUGAUGCCUGCUAUGAGAUAUUUACAGAAAGCCUUCUGUGCUCUAGUCGCCUUGAAAACAUCCACCUGGCUGGACAGAUGAUGCACUGCAGUGCUUGUUCAGAAAAUCCCCCAGGUGGUAUAGCCCAUAAAGGGAAACCCCACUACAGGGUCAGUUAUGAAAAGAGUAUUGACUUGGUUUUGGCUGCCAGCAGAGAGUACUUCAAUUCUUCUACCAACCUCACUGAUAGCUGCAUGGAUCUCGCCAGGUGCUGCUUACAACUGAUAACAGACAGACCCCCUGCCAUUCAAGAGGAGCUAGAUCUUAUCCAAGCCGUUGGAUGUCUUGAAGAAUUUGGGGUAAAGAUCCUGCCUUUGCAAGUGCGAUUGUGCCCUGAUCGGAUCAGUCUCAUCAAGGAGUGUAUUUCCCAGUCCCCGACAUGCUAUAAACAAUCUACCAAGCUUCUGGGCCUUGCUGAACUGCUGAGGGUUGCAGGUGAGGACCCAGAAGAAAGGCGGGGACAGGUUCUAGUCCUUUUAGUGGAGCAAGCACUUCGCUUCCAUGACUACAAAGCAGCCAAUAUGCAUUGUCAGGAGCUGAUGGCCACAGGUUAUCCUAAAAGCUGGGAUGUUUGUAGCCAGUUAGGACAAUCAGAAGGUUACCAGGACUUGGGCACUCGUCAAGAGCUCAUGGCUUUUGCUUUGACACAUUGCCCUCCUAGCAGCAUUGAACUUCUUUUGGCGGCUAGCAGCUCUCUGCAGACAGAAAUUCUUUAUCAAAGAGUGAAUUUCCAGAUCCAUCAUGAAGGAGGGGAAAAUAUCAGUGCUUCACCAUUAACUAGUAAAGCAGUACAAGAGGAUGAAGUAGGUGUUCCAGGUAGCAAUUCAGCUGACCUAUUACGCUGGACCACUGCUACCACCAUGAAAGUCCUUUCCAACACCACGACCACCACUAAGGCAGUGCUGCAGGCCGUCAGUGAUGGGCAAUGGUGGAAGAAGUCUUUAACUUACCUUCGACCCCUUCAGGGUCAAAAAUGUGGUGGUGCAUAUCAAAUCGGAAUUACAGCCAAUGAAGAUCUAGAGAAACAAGGGUGUCAUCCUUUUUAUGAAUCUGUCAUCUCAAAUCCUUUUGUCACUGAGUCUGAAGGAACCUAUGACACUUAUCAGCUUGUUCCAGUGGAAAGUUUUGCGGAAGUAUUGCUGAGAACUGGAAAACUGGCAGAGGCUAAAAAUAAAGGAGAAGAAGUAUUUCCAACAACUGAAGUUCUCUUGCAACUGGCAAGUGAAGCCUUGCCAAAUGACAUGACUUUGGCUCUUGCUUAUCUUCUUGCCUUACCACAGGUGUUAGAUGCUAACCGGUGCUUUGAAAAGCAGUCCCCCUCUGCGUUAUCUCUCCAACUGGCAGCGUAUUACUAUAGCCUCCAGAUCUAUGCCCGAUUGGCCCCAUGUUUCAGGGACAAGUGCCAUCCUCUUUACAGAGCUGAUCCCAAAGAACUAAUCAAGAUGGUCACCAGGCAUGUGACUCGACAUGGGCAUCAAGCCUGGCCUGAAGACCUUGUUUCACUGACCAAGCAGUUACACUAUUACAAUGAACGCCUCCUGGAUUUCACUCAGGCACAGAUCCUUCAGGGCCUUCGGAAGGGUGUGGACGUGCAGCGGUUUACUGCAGAUGACCAGUAUAAAAGGGAGACUAUCCUUGGUCUGGCAGAAACCCUAGAGGAAAGCGUCUACAGCAUUGCUGUGUCUCUGGCACAACGUUACAGUGUCUCCCGCUGGGAAGUUUUUAUGACCCAUUUGGAGUUCCUCUUCACGGACAGUGGUUUGUCCACACUAGAAAUUGAAAAUAGAGCCCAGGACCUUCAUCUCUUUGAGACUUUGAAGACUGAUCCGGAAGCCUUUCACCAGCACAUGGUCAAGUAUAUUUACCCCACUAUUGGUGGCUUUGAUCACGAAAGGCUGCUGUAUUAUUUCACUCUUCUGGAAAACUGUGGCUGUGCAGAUUUGGGGAACUAUGCCAUUAAACCAGAAACCCACAUUCGGCUGCUGAAGAAGUUUAAGAUUGUUGCAUCAGGUCUUAAUUACAAAAAGCUGACAGAUGAAAACAUGAGUCCUCUUGAAGCAUUGGAGCCGGUUCUUUCAAGUCAAAAUAUUUUAUCUAUUUCCAAACUUGUUCCCAAAAUCCCUGAAAAGGAUGGCCGGAUGCUUUCCCCAAGCUCUCUGUACACCAUCUGGUUACAGAAGUUGUUCUGGACUGGAGACCCUCAUCUCAUUAAACAAGUCCCAGGCUCUUCACUGGAGUGGCUUCAUGCCUAUGAUGUCUGCAUGAAGUACUUUGAUCGUCUCCACCCAGGUGACCUCAUCACUGUGGUAGAUGCAGUUACGUUUUCUCCAAAAGCUGUGACCAAGCUGUCUGUGGAAGCCCGUAAAGAGAUGACUAGAAAGGCUAUUAAGACAGUCAAACAUUUUAUUGAGAAGCCAAGGAAAAGAAACUCAGAAGAUGAAACUCAAGAAGCUAAGGAUUCUAAAGUUACCUAUGCAGAUGCUUUGAAUCAUCUGGAGAAAUCACUUGCCCACCUGGAAACCCUGAGCCACAGCUUCAUCCUUUCUCUGAAGAAUAGUGAGCAGGAAACACUGCAAAAAUACAGUCACCUCUAUGAUCUGUCCCGAUCAGAAAAAGAGAAACUUCAUGAUGAAGCCGUGGCUAUUUGUUUAGAUGGUCAGCCUCUAGCAAUGAUUCAGCAGCUGCUAGAGGUGGCAGUUGGCCCUCUUGACAUCUCACCCAAGGAUAUAGUGCAGAGUGCAAUCAUGAAAAUAAUUUCUGCAUUGAGUGGUGGCAGUGCUGACCUUGGUGGGCCAAGGGACCCACUGAAGGUCCUGGAAGGUGUUGUUGCAGCCGUCCACGCCAGUGUGGACAAGGGUGAGGAGCUGGUUUCCCCUGAGGACCUGCUGGAGUGGCUGCGGCCUUUCUGUGCUGAUGACGCCUGGCCGGUGCGGCCCCGCAUUCACGUGCUGCAGAUUUUGGGGCAAUCAUUUCACCUGACUGAGGAGGACAGCAAGCUCCUCGUCUUCUUUAGAACUGAAGCCAUUCUCAAAGCCUCCUGGCCCCAGAAACAGGUGGACAUAGCUGACAUUGAGAAUGAAGAGAACCGCUACCGCCUAUUCAUGGAACUCCUGGAAUCUAGUCACCAGGAGGCUGAAUUUCAGCACUUGGUUUUACUUUUGCAAGCUUGGCCACCUAUGAAAAGUGAAUAUGUCAUAACCAAUAAUCCAUGGGUGAGACUAGCUACAGUGAUGCUAACCAGAUGUACGAUGGAGAACAAGGAAGAAUUGGGGAAUGAAGUUUUGAAAAUGUGUCGCUCUUUGUAUAACACCAAGCAGAUGCUGCCUGUAGAGGCUGUGAAGGAGCUUUGUCUGCUGCUGCUCAACCAGUCCCUCCUGCUUCCAUCUCUGAAACUUCUCCUCGAGAGCCGAGAUGAGCAUCUGCGCGAGAUGGCACUGGAGCAAAUCACAGCAGUCACUACGAUUUCCAGUUGCUUUGGCGAGAUUGUACCUGCUUCACACCCUGAACUGUGAAUGUCUUGUGAUGGCUGUGUUUCAGAAAGAGGCCCGAUCCCUUAGCCUAAACCCCGGAGAACAGAUGUGCUUUGGAAUUCAGAAUUUGUCAGAUCUUGGAAAGUGCCGGGGGCUUGGCCACAGACACAGAGGAAUUCUCCUUGCUGAAACCGAACACCCUCAUGAGGAGAUCUACUUUCUGGGAUGCUUCUUACCCUUCCUCCCCUUGUCGGUCCGACACCGAUCCCUGGGGCCAGCACACCUCAUCGCUUGUCUGUUUGUUUUUCUAGACCCCUGACUCCAAACCGUGGGUACCCCACUACCUCUCUGUUUUUGUUGUUUAACUCACACUGUGUUAUGUUUGGUUAUUUAGUUGUUUAUUGCUGCUUAACAAACCACCCCAGAACAUAGUGACUGAAGACAACUGUGUUUAUUAUUUCUCAAGGUUCUGUGGGUCAGGAAUCAGGGCAGAGUGGAUGGAGCUGGCUCAUCUCUGUCCCAUGUGACAUCUCCUGGGACUGGGACAAGUUAGACAGCUUCUUCACUUUUCUGCACCUUGGCUGAGAGGGCUGGCAGGCUGAGCUUAGCCAGGACACGGUGUCUCUUUGUGUAAUCUCCCGUGGCCACUCCACAUGGGUUCUCCUUAUAGCCUCUAUAGCAAGGUGGCCAGACUUUAUGCAUAGAGGCUCAGGACUCCCAAAUCACAAGAGCAGAAGCUCUUAGGUCUCCUUGAGACUGAGGCCUGGAAGGAGCAUCUGUUCAGUUGCAGUCUGUUGGUGAGGUCAAGUCACAGGGCAGCUCAGACACAAGGUAGAAAGGGAAAGGUCUAAACAAGGGCGCGAAUAUGGGCGUGGUGGCUCAUAGAGGCCACUUUUGGAUACCAGCCACCACCUUCCUGUGUUCUUCAGUGAUGACAAUAGCUGAGAACAAAGCUGCUGUGCCUAUAGCUAACCCACACGAAAACUUUCUCAAGAGUUUCCUCAGUGAACUUCAUUGAUAAACUUGUGCUAGCCCCAGCUGCCCCUGAAACCCCUGAUUAAUGACUGUCACAGGCUGAGAGCCAGCAGCAGUGGAAGACAUGAUGAUCAAUAGUCUCUGAUUCCAUUCAAGCCCUGUUAGAGCCUCCUCUGCCCGCCUGACAGAGUCGAGAUAGGCCUUCCGGAUGGCUGGAGAGCAGGAGGGCAGUGAAUUACCAGGACAAGUCAAUAACAAAUUGUUUCUUUUUUCCUGUUAAUAAAGCCGGUUCCUGAUAAACACAGGGGCUGCUCUGAUAACAGAACUCUGCUGUCCUGCUUUUCCUCAUUGUGGCCCAGGGCCAGCUGCUUAGGAUUUCUGCAUGCAUGGCAGAAUGUUGAGAUUCAGCAAAUGAAAGGCCUGUGUCGCCUGCGUAAUCUGUCCUUUUGAGAGGAGUGGCAGGAGGAGGGGCCUUGGGAAAAUGUGGGACAGGCUGAGGGUGUGACCUGUAAGCAGGAGUGGGAGGAGGUUGCGCACAGCCUGUGUCCCCAGUGCAGCGUUCCCAGACUGUGUUCUGGAAUCACCAACUCCAAAGGAUGAGACGAUGUGCUCCUCCAGAGAAAGGAGUCCAUGAACAAUAAACUUAGGAAAAGCACAUUUCCUCAGGCUUUUCUUAGAGUGUAUCAGCUCCUCUGCAUGCCACCAAAGGGUCUGAGAAGGCCUGCAGCUAGGGAACAUGUCUAACUCUGUUCAAGCAAGUAUUUCUAAACUUAAGGAUAGGCCCUGCUUUUUUUCUCUAGGACAAGAUUAAAGCCAAGUGUUCUGAGGAGCACACUUUGCAAGGGCUGCCUUAGGAAAAGCCAGGGACACCAAGUGUGGUCAUCUGACCCAGAAGGGAAGAGCAGGGCUCUGAACAGGACCUGAACAGGAGCUAAGCCAUGGGUGAGCAGCAAGGCCUGAAUGGAUAGGUGGUGAAAGUGGGAGACAAGAACCAGGAUAUAUUACAAAAACUGACCAGGAACUCCUAUGGCUUACCUUCCUAUCUGCCAGGGUGUUCAGCCUGGCUUUGAGUGCAGAGUUAUUUCGAGCAGGCUAUGUUGUCCCCAAUGUGUAAGGGUCUGGGGAUGGCGGGUUUAUUUACCCUGACUUCCAAGCUUCAAGUGGCCGUGCAUAACCCCCUUCUUUCCCCUGCCAGGUAUGUCAGACAGACUCACAGUUUGCCAUGUAAGAUCUGAUACAUAUUGCAAACGGCACAACUGCCUAUACUGUGUCAAAUUUAUGAAGCAUUGCAUUGAAAAUUGGGUAUUGUUGGCAUCAGAUAGGGAAGAGAAAAAAGGAAGUAGGAGAGGAUUAAUGAGAGAAAGAGAAAAUGAUUACUCCACUUUUCCAAAUCU